rnacentral:rRNA from 1 species
AACGUAGGUGGCAAGCGUUAUCCGGAUUUACUGGGCGUAAAGCGUGUGCAGGCGGGUGGACAAGUGGUGUUUGAAAUCGCCAGGCUAAACCUGGCGGGGUUAUGCCAGACUGUCCGUCUGGAGUGCGAGAGAGGGGCGUGGAAUUCCGGGUGUAGUGGUGAAAUGCGUAGAGAUCCGGAGGAACCCCAGAGGCGAAGGCGGCGCCCUGGCUCGCAACUGACGCUCAGACACGACAGCAUGGGGAGCGAACGGG